CCGAGGGACGGCGCAGUGCUGCCUUCCAGGGUCGUAGGAAACAUAAAAAAUCAAUAAGUCAACAUGGGACUGCACUUCAUCCUAGAACACGUCGACAGUGCGGGGACCAACGCGAGGAUCCUGUUCGUGGACUUCAGCUCAGCGUUCAACACAAUCAUCCCCGAACUCCUUUCCUCCAAGCUUCUCCAGCUCAGUGUCUCACCUGCCAUCUGCCAGUGGAUUUACAGCUUCCUGACAGGCAGGACACAGCAGGCGAGGCUGUGGGAGGCCACCUCAUCCACACGCAGCAUCAGCACCGGGGCGCCCCAAGGUUGUGUCCUCUCCCCGCUGCUCCUCUCUCUACACGAACGACUGCACCUCGACGCACCCGGCUGUCAAACUCCUGAAGUUUGCAGACGACACCACUGUCAUCGGCCUCAUCAAAGACAGUGACGAGUCUGCAUAUCGACAGGAAGUGGACCGGCUCGAGCUGCGGUGCGGCCGACACAACCUGGAGCUGAACACGCUCGAGACUGUAGAGAUGAUCGUGGACUUCAGGAGGCGUCCUUCGCCCCAGCUGCCCCUCACGCUGUCAAGCUGCCUUGUGUCAACCGUCGAGACCUUCGGUUCCUCGGAACUAACCAGUCGUCCACCGUGCCGCCUGUUUUUUGGACAUACUUGUUGUGCGUCAGCGAAGAAGAAGAAGCGCAGAAACGGCGGCGCUCAGCAGGAGGUGUGCAGGUGCGAGUCUGCAGCUGGAACUCAAAGCUAGGACAGCAAAAUAAACACAAAAAAAAAGAAGAAAUGAUGUUGCAGGUUUUUUUUUUUUUUUUUUUCACCAUUUGUGCACUUUUAUUUGUACAGUUGUACCUUGCUAAUUUGAAGUUUAAAAUAUAUAUAAUUUAAUGGCAAUUCUAAUGAGAUUCAGUGAUUUGCAGAUUUUCACUAUUCCCCCGUGAAUAGCAGCGGUCUUUGUGGGACAAAAAAAGUUGAUCUUAUCUUAAAAUAAAAAUACUCGCAGGCAUAUAUUAUUUAUCUUUUGCAAAAAAAUGACUAAUAGCUUGCUGACUCACUUAGUUGUGAAACUCUUCUUCAUGUGUUUUCUAUGUAUUAUGCUGCCCCCUGGGGGGCAAAGCAUGCACACCAGAAGGAGCAAAAUGACAAUAGACAUUGAAGACUGAAAUCAUGAUGUGCAAAAAAUAAAAUCUUUAUAUUCAAUGUCAUUAUGUUAUUACUGUAUGUUUUUUAAUAAACAUGGAGCGGGCUAUUUUUCUAAUUCAAACGCGACAAGAAAAUGUAUGAAAUGAAAAUGAUAAAUGGAAUGCGCUAACGCACAGGUGUCAAACUGGUGGCACGGGGGCAAGAUCUGGCCCACAACACCAUUUUAUGUGGCCCGCGAAAGCAAAUCAUAUGUGUCGACUUCAUGUUUCUUGUAAAAAUACCAAAAUUGUUGUCUUUACUUGUAUAAUGUUGAGAUAUUGCAAGCAUUUUA